rnacentral:rRNA from 1 species
GAUGAACGCUGGCGGCGUGCCUAAUACAUGCAAGUCGAGCGAACGGACGAGAAGCUUGCUUCUCUGAUGUUAGCGGCGGACGGGUGAGUAACACGUGGAUAGCCUACCUAUAAGACUGGGAUAACUUCGGGAAACCGUAGCUAAUACCGGAUAAUAUUUUGAACCGCAUGGUUCAAAAGUGAAAGACGGUCUUGCUGUCACUUAUAGAUGGAUCCGCGCUGCAUUAGCUAGUUGGUAAGGUAACGGCUUACCAAGGCAACGAUGCAUAGCCGACCUGAGAGGGUGAUCGGCCACACUGGAACUGAGACACGGUCCAGACUCCUACGGGAGGCAGCAGUAGGGAAUCUUCCGCAAUGGGCGAAAGCCUGACGGAGCAACGCCGCGUGAGUGAUGAAGGUCUUCGGAUCGUAAAACUCUGUUAUUAGGGAAGAACAUAUGUGUAAGUAACUGUGCACAUCUUGACGGUACCUAAUCAGAAAGCCACGGCUAACUACGUG